rnacentral:rRNA from 1 species
UGGGGAAUAUUGCACAAUGGACGCAAGUCUGAUGCAGCGACGCCGCGUGAGGGAUGACGGCCUUCGGGUUGUAAACCUCUUUCGCCAAGGACGAAGCGAAAGUGACGGUACUUGGAGAAGAAGCGCCGGCCAACUACGUGCCAGCAGCCGCGGUAAGACGUAGGGCGCGAGCGUUGUCCGGAUUUAUUGGGCGUAAAGAGCUCGUAGGCGGCUCAUUGCGUCAACCGUGAAAACCCGCGGCUCAACUGCGGGCUUGCGGUUGAUACGGGUGGGCUGGAGUUCGGUAGGGGAGACUGGAAUUCCUGGUGUAGCGGUGAAAUGCGCAGAUAUCAGGAGGAACACCGGUGGCGAAGGCGGGUCUCUGGGCCGAUACUGACGCUGAGGAGCGAAAGCGUGGGGAGCGAACAGGAUUAGAUACCCCCGUAGUCC